rnacentral:rRNA from 1 species
AGGACGAACGCUGGCGGCGUGCUUAACACAUGCAAGUGGAGCGACGAACCAGGGCUUGCCCUGGGGCAGAGCCGCGAACGGGUGAGUAACACGUGGGUUACCUGCCUCGAUGACCGGGACAACCCGAGGAAAACUCGGGCUAAUACCGGAUGUGCCCGCAAGGGGAAAGGAAGCUUCGGCCUCCGCAUCGAGAUGGGCCCGCGGCCCAUUAGCUUGUUGGUGAGGUAACGGCUCACCAAGGCUUCGAUGGGUAGCUGGUCUGAGAGGACGAUCAGCCACACUGGGACUGAGACACGGCCCAGACUCCUACGGGAGGCAGCAGUGGGGAAUCUUGCGCAAUGCGCGAAAGCGUGACGCAGCAACGCCGCGUGGGGGAAGAAGGCUUUCGGGUGUAAACCCUUUCAGUUGGGACGAAGCUUCUCCGGUGAAUAGCCGGACGGAGUGACGGUACCUUCACAAGAAGCACCGGCUAACUACGUGCCAGCAGCCGC